rnacentral:rRNA from 1 species
UACGUAGGGUGCAAGCGUUGUCCGGAAUUAUUGGGCGUAAAGAGCUCGUAGGCGGUCUGUCGCGUCGGCUGUGAAAACCCGUGGCUCAACCCCGGGCCUGCAGUCGAUACGGGCAGACUAGAGUGCGGUAGGGGAGACUGGAAUUCCUGGUGUAGCGGUGAAAUGCGCAGAUAUCAGGAGGAACACCGGUGGCGAAGGCGGGUCUCUGGGCCGUAACUGACGCUGAUGCGCGAAAGCCAGGGGAGCGAACGGG